UUCAAUGUUACUCCUUUGUGGAGUCACCUGAACUGAAGAGAGAGGGUGUCCCGCAUCACCCGAGAUGACCUCCUUUCCUCAGAGGAGAAGGACUCUUCACGCAACUGCCUGUCCCUUUCGCACUGGUGUCUUGUGGGGUGUGGAAGCGUCCCUCUACUGCUACCUCUAUUGUCUCCUUCAGAUUCUGGGGGCAUUCUGGAAAAGGCUGGAGUCAGAAGAUGAGGACAACUCUUUCAUGGUAACCAGUGAGACGAAUAUGGCCACCAUCUCCAGUCUGAGCCCAGGGAAGAUAUAUGCCUUCCAAGUGCGAGCCCGGACAGCAGUGGGUUACGGGCCCUACAGUGGAAAGAUGUAUUUCCAGACCCUGGUGGGAAGGGCGUAGGGUGGCAUAUGCUGGUCUACCCGUCUCCAUUUUACUAUCACAACAAUGUUGUGAGGUAGGUUAGGCUGAGAGAAGGUGACUGGCCUGAAGUCUCCCAGCGAGCUUCCAUGACAAAGUGGCCUCCCCGAUCCUAGUCCAAGCUGUUUAUGCCCAAUGAUGGACAGGAAUGGAAGUGUCAUAAGGCAUCUUGCGCACAAUUCAAGAACUGGCAUGCUGCAUUCAAGAGUCCAGAUUUCCAAAUGUGACCACAAUGGAUAAUCUGGUGCAUUUCCCCCCUUUCCCAAAUGCUUUCUCAGAGUAGUCACUUCAUAAGUAGGAUUCUCUUGUCGGCGGUAUCACAUCCUCAACCUCUCACUUUAAAUUGUACUGCCCUUUUAAGGGUAUUUCUAGUGUAUGAAUUUUGUAAUGAUUCACAAACUGAUCCUGUGUAUAUUGAUAUAUGACAUUGAUUGUAUUAUCUGCGAAUGGCCAAACUGCACUAGCACUUCAUUGGCCUGAGAUUCUCUUGUUGGACAGAGGAAUUUUCGAUAUGUAGUUACUAGUACUUAUUGAGGCUUAUGUAGCACUUUGUGUUUCUUUGAAGUUAACUCAACCUAGCCUUGGUAUACCAUUGAAAAAAAUGUGUUUCAGCAUCAUAGAAUCUUGUUAGCCAUAAACAUUCCUUUGAAGGUUAAUCAUAUAUAUAUAUUUCAAACACGAUUGCCUCUGAUUUUCUAAGUAUUUCAUUGGGAUAAUUUUGAUUGAUGUCUUAGUCUUCACGGUUUGCUGUUCUGUCUUGAACUUUUUCCGUGAUGCCCUCUUUUGCAUACCUAUUGAGUAAGGUCGACAGACCCUGCCGGCAA